CGGCAAGAGGUUAUAUAAUUGAGUGUCCGCCAUAUCUGAAUUUGGCAAAAAAAGCGAAGUGUCAAAACACGGAUAAAAAUGUUUUUCGUUCUGCGCCCUCAAAAGGAAGCGGAGAGAAAAGAAAUCCAAAAGAUGGUCUCAUGGGGGAUUAUUAAAAGGUCAACCAGCUGGUAUAAUAACCCACAUGUGGUUGUAAAGGAGAAGAAUGGUGGAGUCAGGUUGGUUCUGGAUGCCAACAAGUUACAUGAAAUCAUUGUAGGGGCGAGUGAUACACCAGCUAACAUAGACGACAUUUUGCAAAAGUUCCAUGAGUGUAAGUUUCAGACUCCUUUUGAUUUGACUUGUGGCUAUUGGAAUAUCAGUUUGGCCAAGGAAUCUAGGCCAUGUACAGCAUUUUUACAUGAAGGAUUAACAAGGAAGGUAUACAUCCUGAUGCAGAAAAGUUUGCUGCCAUUGCAGAUUUCCCACACCCCAAGAACAAGAAGGAUCUUAAAGCUACAUAUGGCUUGUUUGGCUUCUACCGAAAGUUCACAUCAGAUGUGAUUUAACUAUACUUGCCUUGGUGUUUUGUUGAAACAGAAUGUGGUGUGGGAUUGGACAGAGGAGUCAGAAGAUGCAUCUCAGAGUUUGAAAAAGGAAUUAGUAAAUAAUAAGAUGCUAGGACCUCCAAAUUUUUCACUGACUUUCUGUAUGCAAGUUUUUGUGGUUUGGGGAUAGAAAUUUUCCAAUUGAGUUGGGGGAUGAACACAAAACCAUUGCUUUUGUUAGUAGAACAUUACGACCACAUGGAAAAAAACUAUUCCAUUUCAGAGUUAGAGGCUUUGGCAAUUAAAUUUGGAUUUCAAAAGUUUGAGUACUAUUUACUUAGACAUAAGACCAUAGCGUAUACAGAUCAUAAGGCUUUGAAUUACCUUCAGAAGUGCAGGUAGAAACACACCAGGUUAACUAGGUGGGCUUUGUAUUUCCACCAAUUUGAUUUGGAGGUAAGGUAUGUAAAACAAUAUUGUGCCUGAUGUGUUAUCUAGGUUGCCAACAGGGAAGAAGGAUACUGACAGUAGUGAGAACCAUGAAGAACAAGUAAGGUUGCUUUAUUUGCAGGGAGUGAAGGACAAGAAACUUAGAAAAAUUUGCAAGCAAAUGAGAAGGUAGCAGAAUGAGGGUACAAAUUUAAGGUUGGUUAAACAGUAUUACUACAUUCCAAAGGUGAAACGGUACUAUACUAUACACAAAGGGUUGUUUUUUAGGAGGAAAAAUUUGAAUGAUCAGGACUGGAAGUUAAGCUUUCCUGACCAACAUGUUGAUAAAUUUAUUGACUACUUGCAUGAGAGUUCUGAACAUUAUGGGAUCAGGAAAAUAGUAGCUAAGAUACAGGAGAAAGUAACAUUUAACAACUUGUGGAGAAGGGUUAAGGAGAGACUAGAAAGAUGUGAUAAAUGUCAGAGAGUAAAGACAACUGGUGUGACAUCAAAAGGCUUAAUGCAGUCUGACCUUCCUAGUGAACCUAUAGAGGUUAUAGCAGUUGACCUUCUAGGAGCAUUGCCUCCAUCUACAGGAGGUUGAAAGUAUAUUUUCGUUGUUUUGGACACAUUCUCAAAAUAUGUAAAACUGUAUCGAAUUAAGAAGGCAAAUACUAAUACUGUAAUGGAGAAGUUGACAUCUGAUUACUUUUGCAAUGUAGGGGUACCAAAAUCAAUUUUGUCUGACAAUGGCCCACAAUUUAUUUCAGAGAGGUUUGAACACUGUAUGGCAGUACACAAGAUAAAACAAAGAUUUCUACCUAUUUUCCACACGGUAACAAGAGUGAAAGGGUUAUGAAGGAAAUUAAUAGACUGUGAAGGACUUACUGUAGUAAGAAACACACUGCUUGGGCAGUCAAAUUCGACAUUUUGAAAAUAUUAUCCACAUUUUAUGGAACAAAUCAACAGGAUAUGCCACAUAUGAACUUAUGCUCAAUGAGAAACCCUGCAACAUCAUGAGAGCAGAAGUGGAUUUCCCUCAGGUAAGACAAAAAGAUCAAAUUGACUAACGAGAUGAUGAAAAAGAAAGCAGCAGGAAGGAAGAGAAGGAAUGACAAAGGAGUGAAACCAGCAAGUUUCAGAAUAUGCAACCUUGUCCUCAUGAAAACCAAAGAAAAAUAUAGCAAAGUAAAUGAGAAGAUUAAGAAGUUUUCGCAUGUGUAUCAUGGUCCUUUCAGAGUGGUACGCAUUGCCCAUGACAACUCUUAUGAAUUGGCUUACUCAAAGACUAACAGGAUUUUUUGAUUAAAGAAUAUUAUUGAUCUGAAACACUAUGUAUUGCCAAUUAGAUGUUUGAGUAUUGACCCACAACAGUUUAAACCGUUUCUGAGCUUGGGUAGUAUCGAUUUUGUUAGGAGAAUGGAGUGUGCAUUGAGACAAAAGUAAGACCUACAAACAAGUAGAGGGUUCGACACUCUGUGUUGGAUUCAUUAUGUGGUGAUAGUGCUUACCCCAGCCUUUUGUCUAAUUUUUCGUUUCCUGAGGCAGGAAAACUCUUCUCCUAUGAUAUAUGUAGUUGAUAAGUGAAUCAGAAACAUUCUAUCUUUGACUUUCAUGUGAUUUUGUACAGAAGGAUACUUUAGUAUAGGAAUAUUUUGGAAAAGGUUUCUCCAGUGUUAUCUUUGUAUAUAUUAUGUUGUGUUAGUGAUAAGUAAUGGAAUCAUAAGAGCAAGGAAGAAAGGGAUUCUGGUGUUACAAAAUAUGUUGAAUGUAAAUUCGUACCACGGUUAAAGAAUUUCUGUCAAAGGGGUAAGGUAAAUAGAAAGAAGGUGUCAGCACAUGUGGAGGAGAAGGUGCAGAUUAUCUGAAAACUGUAAUUAACAUUUGGAGUAAUCAGCUUAUGUGUGAAGUUAGUAUAACUUGGUGCAGCAGCAGAGGCCAUAUGCAGCAUAAACCAUCUCGAAUACUAGGUCUUAAUAUUAAUUGUGGUAUAAUAGAAAUGUUUGUGUUCAGUGAAGUCAGUGUAUUGAGAUAACUAUCUACUUACAGAAGUGUGUCAUGGUACAGCCUUGUCUAACAUUAAGGAAAUAAAAAUUUAAACUUAGUUACCUGGAGUAAUGUUUCUGGGGAAAAAAGCAAGAUUUGUAUGUAUAUCGCCAUUCAGACUAGAAUCUCAAGCAAUUUGAUGGAAUACAGUGAAAUAAUAGUUUUUCUAAGUGAUAAUCUUGACUGAUCAGUAAUGGGAGCUUAACAGAAAGAGAAAUACAUUAGUGACAUAUUAGUCAUAUAAUGCUGCAUCAUUGGAUCCGUAGCAUAUCAAAAACUUCUAUUUUUUCUUAGGAAUUAUGAGCUUAAAGUGGAAGUACUCGAAUGAAGAAAAGUAAUUUUGCUGAUUAACUGCUAGAGUGAUGUGAAUAUUAUAAAAAGGUCAACAAUUUGGUAACAUUUUGUGAUUUUGUGCAGACUUAAUUUUCUGGUUUAAUGGCAGUAGUACUCAGAGUUGGGUGGAGAAGUAGGACAAUGACUGGAUCAAAGAGUUUUCAUUUUAGUGGUAGUUAAGUUAUGUCAUAGUGACUAUUCUUUUUCAUAUUGUAAUGAUUAGUAUCUACUGCACAUUUUGAGUUUUUGCUAGAGGUAAUGUACGUAUUUUGGACAUCAAGAUGAUGAGUCCAUAAAUGAUGUGAAUUGCAAACCAGGUCUUGGCCUUUGAGUGAGUUUGUAAAUGGAAAAGAAACCCAAAUCUUUCAUGUUUAAACCAUUUUGGACAGAUUUAUGAGCUAGAGUGAUGUUUUGUAGUGUAAUAUGCACUUAAUUUUAAAAGUUUUAUUUGUCCCCACCUUUUGUACUAUAGUCAAUGUUAGUGCUAAUUAUUGUGAUGUUAUGAGAACUAUGUAAUGUAUUUAAUUAUGAAGUAAUGACUAUCAUUUGCCAUUAGAGUGAAACAUUUUUUUCCUUAGACUUCAUUAGAAGUAAAAGUGAAUGUACUCAAGUAUGGUACUUUGUCUAAUUUUUUCAUGUACUGUGGCGAGGAGAACCACUUCCAAGGAAGCUGACAGCAGUGCAUUUCCUUUCUAACUGUCACUUGGACAUGCUGAUGGCAUGGACAACUUGCCCUGGCAUCAUUACUACCCAUUGCACUCGAAUUUUCAGCGAAGAGAACCCCGACCAUCAGCGUCCGUUGAUGAGGAGGCAGCUGCGUGAGCACCAGUGGUCAUGGUCACUUGCUACCUGGGAGCUCAACCUCAUGGAUGGAGCCAUACGUUGAGCAACUGUUGUGUCACCUGCUUGAGUUUAUCUGUGGAGUGGGCAUGCAGUGAGAUAGAUGGAAAAUUUAUUCAACAAAUUUUUUAUUGUGCUACACUUUAAAAAAUGUUAUUUGUCUUACCACUUGUGCUGGUUUUUACUCCAACCAUAUUUCCCUGUUGUAUUGUGCAGAAGUCUGUUGUAGCAGCAAGCGUGUGAUUCUGACCAACUAAAGUAAAGUGGCAUUCCUUCCUUGCAGCUCAACCUCAUGGAUGGAGCCAUAUGAUGAGCAACUGUUGUGUCACCUGCUUGAGUUUAUCUGUGGAUUGGGCAUGCAGUGAGAUAGAUGGAAAAUUUAUUUCUGACUACUUCUGGUUUUCAGAUGGCAGAGUGUAAAACAGUGGUUGUUGUAUGAAUGGAGCAAGCUUCCAUCUGUAGAACGUUUAGUGCUGUGUGUUUUAAAUAUGAAACCUGCCUGUGAUAUAGUGUGUACUUUAUUAGAAACACCCUUUUGACAUUGUAUUGAGCCUUCUGUUACAAACUUUUUGAUGACUUUUUGAUGGAAAUGUGUGAGAGAUUUCAUGAUAGUCAAAAGAUUUAGUUUGCCUUGUUGAUACCACAUAAUUUGAAGAAUACCACAUGUUUUCCUUCUAGUACACUUGAAAUCUUGCAAAAUAUCUUUGAGCAUCUAUUCUCCAAAACAUAAUGCUUCAGAAAUGGAUUUUCUGUUUUGUAUGUU